CGGAGGAUCCAAGCGUUAUCCGGAUUCACUGGGUUUAAAGGGUGCGUAGGUGGGCAGGUAAGUCAGUGGUGAAAUCUCCGGGCUUAACCCGGAAACUGCCAUUGAUACUAUCUGUCUUGAAUACCCUGGAGGCGAGCGGAAUAUGUCAUGUAGCGGUGAAAUGCUUAGAUAUGACAUAGAACACCCAUUGCGAAGGCAGCUCACUACGGGAAUAUCGACACUGAGGCACGAAAGCGUGGGGAUCAAACAGGAUUAGAUACCCUGGUAGUCCACGCCCUAAACUAUGGAUACUCGACAUCAGCGAUAAACUGUUGGUGUCUGAGCGAAAGCAUUAAGUAUCCCACCUGGGAAGUACGAUCGCAAGAUUG
rnacentral:rRNA from 1 species